UACAGAGGUCUCAAGCGUUGUUCGGAUUCAUUGGGCGUAAAGGGUGCGUAGGUGGCGCUGUAAGUCAGGUGUGAAAUUUCGGAGCUUAACUCCGAAACUGCAUUUGAUACUGCGGUGCUUGAGGACUGGAGAGGAGACUGGAAUUUACGGUGUAGCAGUGAAAUGCGUAGAGAUCGUAAGGAAGACCAGUGGCGAAGGCGGGUCUCUGGGCAGUUCCUGACACUGAGGCACGAAGGCCAGGGGAGCAAACGGG
rnacentral:rRNA from 1 species